rnacentral:rRNA from 1 species
UACGUAGGGUGCAAGCGUUGUCCGGAAUUACUGGGCGUAAAGGGCCAGUAGGCGGCCAACUAAGUCCGACGUGAAAUCCCAAGGCUUAACCUUGGAACUGCGUCGGAUACUGGAUGGCUUGAAUUCGGGAGAGGGAUGCAGAAUUCCAGGUGUAGCGGUGAAAUGCGUAGAUAUCUGGAGGAAUACCGGUGGCGAAGGCGGCAUCCUGGACCGACAUUGACGCUGAGUGAGCGAAAGCCAGGGGAGCAAACGGG